rnacentral:piRNA from 1 species
UGUAUUUUUUUGUUGUUGUCUUUCUCAG